UACGGAGGGUGCAAGCGUUAUUCGGAUUUACUGGGCGUAAAGGGCGCGUAGGCGGUUUAGCAAGUCAGAUGUGAAAUCCCGGGGCUUAACUCCGGAAGUGCAUCUGAUACUGUUUGGCUUGAGUAUGGUAGAGGGAAGUGGAAUUCCUGGUGUAGCGGUGAAAUGCGUAGAUAUCAGGAGGAACACCGGUGGCGAAGGCGACUUCCUGGACCAAAACUGACGCUGAGGCGCGAAGGUGUGGGGAGCAAAC
rnacentral:rRNA from 1 species